rnacentral:piRNA from 1 species
GCCAACCAAGAGGGGCAGCCUGGGA